rnacentral:lncRNA from 1 species
UCCAGGUUGGAGCGAAUGCUUGAUUGAAUACUGCAUCUACCACAGGCCUCCCUCCAGGAUGCCUGCUUCCAGCCUCAGGAUGAGGGGACAGUGGGCUUCCCUGUGGUGGGUGGAGCUCCUUCUGGAGCGGGUUUAGAGCCCACCUGACCCUGGACACCAGGUACCUCCUGAAGAAGAGCUAGAAAUAAAGCAUCAACAGAGAUGUCAGAGCUUCCUGUAACACGACCUCUCUCUCCAUCACGGAGAGGUCACUGGAUAAGAAGACGGAGCUGUCGUCUGUGUAAGGACCGCACAAUAUGACUGCUUGGUGAAUACUCUGGCGGAAACCUGUACCACAUCCUUUGAUUCAUUUUCCUUCUUUGGUUCUUGUAAGAACAGAGACUCUACUGAGUGAGGACAGAGAGCCGGCCACUGUGGGACAUCAGGGCUGUGCGGACACUGUGUACAGGGAUGCAUCAACAGCCCUCAGAAGGAGUAUCAUUAUCUUCUGUGCGCUAUGAAGAAACUGAGUCUCAGCGAAGGUGAAUGAGAGAGCGGGGAUGGAGCCAAUCUUAAAUCUGUGAAACCGCUUCAUUUCUGAAUGGAACAGACCAAUAACUCCCGUAGCAGGGGUUCGACGAGAACAUUGCUGUACGUACGGGGUGAACAAAGCUCAUCAAGGCCUGGUGGUGGGAAGCAUGGCCCGGUUUUUCUGCACAACAUUCAACCCCGACUUCUCCUUCCAUCUCGUCGCAUGUCCUCUGUGAAGGAUCAAGGCAGGGGCUGAGACAGCAGAGGUCAAGUCACGUUGUCGCUUUUGCGGUGUUCUGCUAGCAUCACAGGGAUGCC